AUUGAACGCUGGCGGCAGGCCUAACACAUGCAAGUCGAGCGGUAGCACAGAGAGCUUGCUCUCGGGUGACGAGCGGCGGACGGGUGAGUAAUGUCUGGGAAACUGCCUGAUGGAGGGGGAUAACUACUGGAAACGGUAGCUAAUACCGCAUAACGUCGCAAGACCAAAGAGGGGGACCUUCGGGCCUCUUGCCAUCAGAUGGUCCCAGAUGGGAUUAGAUAGUAGGUGGGGUAACGGCUCACCUAGGCGACGAUCCCUAGCUGGUCUGAGAGGAUGACCAGCCACACUGGAACUGAGACACGGUCCAGACUCCUACGGGAGGCAGCAGUGGGGAAUAUUGCACAAUGGGCGCAAGCCUGAUGCAGCCAUGCCGCGUGUAUGAAGAAGGCCUUCGGGUUGUAAAGUACUUUCAGCGAGGAGGAAGGCAUUGUGGUUAAUAACCACAGUGAUUGACGUUACUCGCAGAAGAAGCACCGGCUAACUCCGUGCCAGCCGCCGCGGUAACAC
rnacentral:rRNA from 1 species